rfam:Micromonospora humi strain DSM 45647 genome assembly, contig: Ga0070213_106
GCCGGUGUGAAACCGGCGCUGUCCCGCAACUGUGAUGCCCCGUACGCGCGGCGUCGGCCUCCCGCCGGCGCCGACGGACGUGGGACGAGCCAGG